rnacentral:rRNA from 1 species
GUAUUUGUUAAGUUCUUGAAACCUAAAGGAUUUGGCGGUAUUUUAGUCCUUUCAGAGGAACCUGUCCCUUAAUCGAUAACCCACGAUUUUAUAUACUUAAUUUAUUUUAGUUUGUAUACCUCCGUCAUAAGGAUGUCUUUUUAGAGUUAAUUUUCUCUUCUAUUAAAUAUAGAUAUGUCAGGUCAAGGUGCAGCUUAUGAUUAAGUGGAGAUGGGUUACAAUAAUAUUAUUUAAACGGAUUUACUUAUUUAUUUUUGUAAUUAAGGUGGAUUUGAAAGUAAAUUUAUUUAUUAAGUUUGUUGAUUUUUUGGCUCUGAAAUAUGCACACAUCGCCCG